UACGUAGGGUGCGAGCGUUAAUCGGAAUUACUGGGCGUAAAGCGUGCGCAGGCGGUUCUCCAAGUCCGUUGUGAAAGCCCCGGGCUCAACCUGGGAAUGGCAGUGGAAACUAGGGGACUGGAAUCUGGCAGAGGGGGGUGGAAUGCCGCGUGUAGCAGUGAAAUGCGUAGAGAUGCGGCGGAACACCGAUGGCGAAGGCAGCCCCCUGGGUCAAUACUGACGCUCAUGCACGAAAGCGUGGGGAGCAAACAGG
rnacentral:rRNA from 1 species